ACUGCAUUCCAGUCUCCAGUGAGACCCUGUCUCAACAACAACAAAAAAUCUUAAUUGCCUUUUGAAUCUCCUGUUAAUCCUUUGGGAUAUGGAAGAAUGAUGUGUUUUCUUUGAGAAAGGUGGGAAUUUUCUUUGUCUCUUGAUCCAGUGAUUGUUGCAGGGUUGUGUGCUUGAUCAACCUUGGUUUUAUGCCCUUUUGGGAUUUCUGCUCAUGGUUAGUGUCGUUACUGGAAACCUCUUUUCUUCUUACAGCCUCUAACACUUCAUUAUAAUCAUUAUACAAAGAGUUCAACUAUUCUUUCUUUUCUCUCGUACUGGCUCAAUGAAUCGUGUUCUUGUGCCUAUCCAGGUGGCUCUGUGGACCCUGGGACAGUUGGUGGCCAGCACUGGCUAUGUAGUAGAGCCCUACAGGAAGUACCCUACUUUGCUUGAGGUGCUACUGAAUUUUCUGAAGACUGAGCAGAACCAGGGUACACGCAGAGAGGUAGGGGACGUGGCAAACUUGGUCUUUAAAGACUUUGCUGGGACGAUGGCAAGAGAGAGAAGGUUGCAGCAUUAACAUACAUACUCAUCAGUAAUUACUAGCAUU
rnacentral:lncRNA from 1 species